rnacentral:rRNA from 1 species
GACGAACGCUGGCGGCGUGCUUAAUACAUGCAAGUCGAACGAGUGGCGAACGGGAGCGUAAUACGUGGGUAACUUGUCCUCUUUUUGGGAUAUGCCUAGGAUACGGGGUCUAAUACCGAAUAAUGGGGGAUGGGCUUGCGGCCUAUCAGCUUGUUGGUGGGGUGAUGGCUGACCAAGGCGGUGACGGGUAGCCGGCCUGAGAGGGGGACCGGCCACAUUGGGACUGAGGUACGGCCCAGACUCCUACGGGAGGCAGCAGUGGGGGAUGUUGCACAAUGGGCGAAAGCCUGAUGCAGCGACGCCGCGUGAGUGAUGACGGCCUUCGGGUUGUAAAGCUCUGUUAUUCGGGACGCGGUACCGAAAUAGAAAGCCACGGCUAACUACGUGCCAGCAGCCGCGGUAAUAC